rnacentral:lncRNA from 11 species
UUUAUUUUUUGCUGUGCUUUGAGGAGUUUCUAAUUUUUGACUUCAAUCAAAGCAGAUUCUUCCCUUUGCUUUACAUAUUCUUCUUAUUAUUAUUAAAUCCAUAUUAAAUAUUAAAUCCACAUUUAUCAAAUCUGCACGUUAUAUUUUUGCAACACACUGAACCCCACUGAUGAGCAGAUUCGCCUGGUGUGAGAAACAUUUAACCACUGAUGGAGUUUCAGGGGGUUGACCUGGCAUGAUGGGAGUUGUAGUUCGUCCACAACCUUAUGGACAAUUUAAAAAAAAUGACUUUUUGAAAUAACCAGGGCAAUGCUGGAGACCCAAGCUAGUAAUAAUAACAGUAGGGGAGGGAUGGGGAGAGGCUGGAAGGAUCAGAUUCGCAAAGGGGCCCCCGUGGGGAGGUGGGCUUUUUUUGGAGGGUCUCUGACCCCUUUCCUCUGGCGAGUAACCUCUCCUCUCUCUCCCUUUUGUCCCCCUUCCCACCCCUUUCCUUCUCUCUUUCUCUCUCUCUCUCUCUUUCUCGACCUUCUUCCAGGUAAAAGUCCUCCCGUAAGCCAAGCGGGGUCUUUGGCCAAGCCCCCCGACCCUUUUCAGCCGUUCGGGCCCGACACCGGUGACCCUUUCCAGAGCAGCAAGGGGUUUGGGGACCUAUUUAGCGGAAGAGACCUCUUUGGGGCUCCUCCUCCCCCCCCUCCCUCCUCCUCCUCCUCUUCCUCCUCCUCCUCCUCCUCCGCGAGGAAGGCUUCCAAAGAGCCCGCGAGGGGCUUUGCGGACUUCGGCACACUUGGCAAUGAGGAGCAGCAGCUGGCGUGGGCCAAGCGGGAGAGCGAGAAGGCGGAGCGGGACCGCCUGGCGCGGCUGCGGAGGCAGGAGCAGGAGGACCUGGAGCUGGCCAUCGCCCUCAGCAAGGCCGACAUGCCCGCCUCGUAAGCGCCCCGGACGGAGACGGAGAAGGCAAGGCACGGCCGCCGGCCCCUGGUCCCGCGACUCCGACCCCGGCUCUCCCGUUUCCCGUUUCCCGUGGUGUCCGUCCGACCGACCGACAGACGGGCGGGUGGGCCUUCGUUCGUGCAGCGGGCGAGUGCACGGCUUCUGGGACUGGGACGGACUCUGCCUGCGGUGUUGCGGGGGACGAUUGCCGACCACCAACGUGUACGGUACCGGACUCGAAUUCUCCCCCUUGUAGUGGCAUCUACUAAAUGGGCAAAACAGCAGCUCUCUGCUUCUUCCCCAAGGGGCCCCUUGUGCAGACCCUACCUCCCUCCCCUCCCUUCCUUCCUUCCUUCCUUCCUUCCUUCGUUCCCUCUUCGGCUCGAGUUCGAGUCAAGACUGAAGUGGUUCGCAAACUUACUUGUGUAGAGAUACAGUUGUCCUAUUCCUAACUCGUAUACAAAAUAGAACAAUGGUAACAGACAAACCCACUUGCUUACAGGCGCAUGAGGAAUGCACAAAUG